CCAAGAACAGUGAAGUGAGUCCAGAGAUUAAGCAACAGUUGACAACAAUUGGAGAGAGUCAAGGCAUGAUGAGUGAUAACAUUGUCUUCUUCUCCAGUGGAGUGGCCUGUCAAGAUGAGGCAUAGGGGGAGGAGGCGUCUUCUGCCGAUUCCCCAGGAGAUUCCAGCAGUGACAUGAUAAACUCCCUUUCCUGUGCCAUGUGGUUUUGACCUUGCCCACUCAGACUUGGGACAGAAGGCCCCUCAUGCUAUUAAUAAA